GAAAGGAAACCAACAGGGAUUGCCCCAGUAACGGCGAGUGAAGCGGCAAGAGCUCAAAUUUGAAAGCUGGCUCCUUCGGGGUCCGCAUUGUAAUUUGUAGAGGAUGCUUCGGGAGCGGUCCCCAUCUAAGUGCCCUGGAACGGGACGUCAUAGAGGGUGAGAAUCCCGUAUGGGAUGGGGUGUCCGCGCCCGUGUGAAGCUCCUUCGACGAGUCGAGUUGUUUGGGAAUGCAGCUCUAAAUGGGUGGUAAAUUUCAUCUAAAGCUAAAUAUUGGCCGGAGACCGAUAGCGCACAAGUAGAGUGAUCGAAAGAUGAAAAGCACUUUGAAAAGAGAGUUAAAAAGCACGUGAAAUUGUUGAAAGGGAAGCGCUUGCGACCAGACUCGCUCGCGGGGUUCAGCCGGCAUUCGUGCCGGUGUACUUCCCCGCGGGCGGGCCAGCGUCGGUUUGGGCGGUCGGUCAAAGGCCCUCGGAAGGUAACGCCCCUAGGGGCGUCUUAUAGCCGAGGGUGC
rnacentral:rRNA from 1 species